rnacentral:rRNA from 1 species
GAUGAACGCUGGCGGCGUGCCUAAUACAUGCAAGUCGAGCGAACCACUUCGGUGGUGAGCGGCGAACGGGUGAGUAACACGUAGGUUAUCUGCCCAUCAGACGGGACAACGAUUGGAAACGAUCGCUAAUACCGGAUAGGACGAAAGUUUAAAGGUGCUUCGGCACCACUGAUGGAUGAGCCUGCGGCGCAUUAGCUAGUUGGUAGGGUAAAGGCCUACCAAGGCGACGAUGCGUAGCCGACCUGAGAGGGUGAACGGCCACACUGGGACUGAGACACGGCCCAGACUCCUACGGGAGGCAGCAGUAGGGAAUCUUCGGCAAUGGGCGAAAGCCUGACCGAGCAACGCCGCGUGAAUGAUGAAGGCCUUCGGGUUGUAAAAUUCUGUUAUAAGGGAAGAAUGGCUCUAGUAGGAAAUGGCUAGAGUGUGACGGUACCUUAUGAGAAAGCCACGGCUAACUACGUG